CCGUGCUAGGCGGGGAGUUCGCGGUUCCCUCGACCGGCAAUCCGCUUCAGCCGGGCACCAAUCCCCUCUUUCGGGGGGAACAAGGAGUACGUGGCACCACCAGGAGCGUUGAUGGUCAGGUCCCGCGCGAUCGGCAACCUCGAACCGUGUCAGGGCCGGAAGGCAGCAGCACUCAGAGAAUCCGCCGGUGCGCCGCGGUUCCGCCUGAUUGGAGUGACUGGCCGGUGAAACGGACCAACCGGUUCCCCACAACGGAGGGUGCACGG
rnacentral:SRP_RNA from 1 species